UAAUACAUGCAAGUCGAGCGGACAGAAGGGAGCUUGCUCCCGGAUGUUAGCGGCGGACGGGUGAGUAACACGUGGGUAACCUGCCUGUAAGACUGGGAUAACUCCGGGAAACCGGAGCUAAUACCGGAUAGUUCCUUGAACCGCAUGGUUCAAGGAUGAAAGACGGUUUCGGCUGUCACUUACAGAUGGACCCGCGGCGCAUUAGCUAGUUGGUGAGGUAACGGCUCACCAAGGCGACGAUGCGUAGCCGACCUGAGAGGGUGAUCGGCCACACUGGGACUGAGACACGGCCCAGACUCCUACGGGAGGCAGCAGUAGGGAAUCUUCCGCAAUGGACGAAAGUCUGACGGAGCAACGCCGCGUGAGUGAUGAAGGUUUUCGGAUCGUAAAGCUCUGUUGUUAGGGAAGAACAAGUGCAAGAGUAACUGCUUGCACCUUGACGGUACCUAACCAGAAAGCCACGGCUAACUACGUGCCAGCAGCCGCGGUAAUACGUAGGUGGCAAGCGUUGUCCGGAAUUAUUGGGCGUAAAGGGCUCGCAGGCGGUUUCUUAAGUCUGAUGUGAAAGCCCCCGGCUCAACCGGGGAGGGUCAUUGGAAACUGGGAAACUUGAGUGCAGAAGAGGAGAGUGGAAUUCCACGUGUAGCGGUGAAAUGCGUAGAGAUGUGGAGGAACACCAGUGGCGAAGGCGACUCUCUGGUCUGUAACUGACGCUGAGGAGCGAAAGCGUGACCAUCCC
rnacentral:rRNA from 1 species